GAGGGAGAAAUAGAGCCCCAAUAAUAGCCAAUUACUUAACAUUUUUUUUUAAAUGUGAGGGAGAAAUUUAAAUAUUCACAGAGAAUUUGAACAGGAGGGGUCCAUCACUUCCAGACCUGCCUUACAAGAAAUUCCAGGAGUCUUCACCUUGAAAUGAAAGGAAGUGGACAUUAACAAAUAGGAAAACACAUGUUUUCUUAUUAACAUGGAGACACUUAUAAGACUAUGAUAUCAUUAUUGGUAUAUUUUUGGCUUGUAACUUCACCUAUUAUUUAAAAUAAUGUCAUGUAAUUAUUUAUUUACUUAUUUGUGUGUGUGUGUGUGUGUGUGUGUGUGUGUGCACGUGCAUGCACACUCAGGAGUUUACAGUUGUGCAUGCUGUAGUGUGAAUUUCAGAGGACAACUUUCAGGAGUGGAUGUUUUCCUACCAUGUGGAUCUUAGGGACUGAACUCUAGUUGUCAGGGUUGGCAGCAGCCGGGGCCUUUACCUGCUGAGUCAUCUCACUGGCCUCUACUUUUAUUCUUUAAUUAUAUUUAAAAGACAAUGAUAAACCCACAUUAAAGUGUGUACAAAAGAAGUGGAAUUUGUGACAUCAGGAAUCUCAGGUUGGGGUUGAAUGGGGCAGAGCUGUGGGGAGAGAGAGUUUCUAGUGUGAUUGAGGACAAGCUUUUCAAAGUUAAAAAUAGACUCUGGUUGCUACAGAAUGUUAUAUGCAGUCCUCAUGGUAAGCACCAGGAAAAUAUCAAUAGAAUAUACACAAAAGAAAUGGGAAAAAAAGGCACAAAUGUCGUCAUAGAAUAUUCAAUUAGCAUAAAGUAACAGCACGAAGGAAGUAACAGAAAAUGGCAGGAAAAAUUGAGCAUUGUGUAUCUCAUUUACUCUCCUAUCCCCAUGCUGGGUGCCAAUCAAAAUUUAAUUCUAUGAAUGAACAAAUGAGUGGAGUGUGUAAGAGGCAGAAUACAAACAAGCUGAUGGGAAUGUGGCCUCUCCUGAAUAGAUUUGGGGACUGCUUCAGGACUCCAACUCUAACUACUGUAACUGUAACUAUAACUAACUAACUAACUAACUGACUGACUAACUAACUAACUAACUAACUAAAUAUAUGUAUAGACACAUUGUCAGUUUGGGGCAGUGCUGUUGAUUGGACCACAGAUCAGUUUCAGAGCGAUGCUUGCUAGUGAUUCACAGGAGAUGCUGCAGAAAGCAGAGGCUUCACGGGAGUGCUGACACGGACAGACCCCAUGCUCACUCAUCCUAUCAGUGCAUAUUGACAGACUACUGUGUGAGGCUCCAAAGUCACAACAGGCUAAUGCUCAUGCUUCCAAUGCUCUUAACUACAUUUACAAUCUGAGCAAUGAAGAAAGCCCAGGUUCUUUCCUGUCUGGGCCGGUGCUGUGAGCAGACCUUGGACACAAACUCUGCAGCCAGUCCCACAACAACCAGAAGAAGCUCCACUCACAGGUGCUCUAACAUGACCAGGAACACAGAAUGCCAGGAUCCCAAGAUCCCAGGAUCGCAGAAACUUGGUCACACCAGAAUCUCAGUGUCCCAGAGGCAGCUUGACUCCCAGGAGCUCUUACACAACCAGGAUCUCAAGAUCACAAGAUCACAGAGACAGUUGGACUCUGAAGAGUUCUGACACAACCAGAAUCAGAGGAAGGACAGGCUCCAGUUAGAUAUAGUGAGGGCAGGUAGCACUAGAGAUAAUCAGAGGCAAACAUAAGAACAUAAGCAACAGAAACCAAGGAUACUUGGCAUAAUUGGAACCCAAUUCCUCAACCAUAACAAGUCCUGGACAAACCAGAAAAUCUAGGAAAAACAUCAGGGGUCAUAGAUGUAAGCAUCACCAACAGAAUACAAGAGAUAGAAUAGAGAAUCUCAGGUGCAGAAGAUAUCAUAAGAAAUAUUAGCACAACAGUUAAAGAAAUUGCAAAAGCUCCUAACCAAAAACAUCCAGGAAAUCCAGGACAAAAUGAGAAGACCACACCUAAGUAUAAUAGGUAUAGAAGAGAGUGAAAAUUCCCAACUUAAAGGGCCAGUCAAUAUCUUCAACAAAAUUAUAGAAGAAAACAUCUCAAAUCUAAAGAAAGAGAUGCCUAUGAACAUACAAGAAGCCUACAGAACUGCAAAUAGACUGGAGCAUAGAGAAAUUAUUCCUGUCACAUAAUAAUCAAAACACCAAAUGCACAAAACAAAGAAAGAAUAUUAAAAGCAGCAAGGGAAAACAUUCAGGUAUAAAGUCAUAGCUGUCAGAAUUACACCAGAAUUUUCACCAGAGACUAUGAAAGCUAGAAGAUCCUGGGCAGAUGUCAUACAGACCUUAAGAGAACACAAAUUCCAGCCCAGGCUACUACACCCAGCAAAACUCUCAAUUACCAUAGAUGGAGAAAUCAAGAUAUUCCAUGACAAAACCAAAUUUACACAAUAUCUUUCCACAAAUCCAGUCCUUCAAAGGAUAAUAGAUGGAAAACACCAAUACAAGGAGGGAAACUACACCCUAGAAAAAGCAAGUAACCUUUCAACAAACCUAAAAGAAGAUAGCCACACAAACGUAUUCUACCUCUAACAACAACAACAACAAAAUAGCAGGAAGUAACAAUCACUUUUCAUUAAUAUCUCUUAACAUCAAUGGACUCAAUUCCCCAAUAAAAAGACAUAGACUAACAGACUGGAUAUAAAAACAGGAUCCAACAUUUUGCUGCAUACAGGAAAUGCACCUCAGUGAAAAAGAUGGACACUACCUCAGAGUAAAAGGCAGGAAAACAAAUUUCCAAGCAAAUGGUCCCAAGAAAUAAGCUGGAGUAGCCAUUCUAAUACUGAAUAAAAUUGACUUUCAACCAAAAGUUAUCAAAAAGGAUAAGGAAGGACACUUCAUACUGGUCAAAGGAAAAAUCUACCAAGAUGAACUCUCAGUUCUGAACAUCUGUGCUCCAAUGCAAGGGCACCCACAUUCAUAAAAGAAACUUUAAUAAGCUCAAAACAUACAUCAUACCCCACACAAUAAUAGUGGGAGACUUUAGUACUCUACUCUCAGCAAUGGACAGAUCCUGGAAACAGAAACUAAACAGAGACACAAUGAAACUAAUAGAAGUUAUAAACCAAACGGAUCUAACAGAUAUUUAUAGAACCUUUCAUCCUAAAGCAAAAGAAUAUACCUUCUUCUCAGCACCUCAUGGUACCUUCUCCAAAAUUGACCAUAUAAUUGGUCACAAAACAGACCUCAACAAAUACAAGAAGAUUGAAAUAAUCCCUUGCACCCUAUCAGAUCACCAAUGACUAAGGCUGGUCUUAAAUACCAACAAAAACAACAGAAGAAACACAUACACGUGGAAGCUAAACAACUCGAUGAUAUACUCGAUGAUAACUUGUUCAAGGAAGAAAUAAAGACAGAAAUUAAAGGCUUUUAAAAAUUUAAUGAAAAUAAAGACACAUCAUACCAAAACUUAUGGGACACAACGAGAGCAGUGGUAAGAGGAAAACUCAUAGAUCUCAGUGACUCCAAAAAGAAACCAGAGAGAAUUUACACUGGCAGCUUGACAGCACACCUGAGAACUCUAGAACAAAAAGAAGCAAAUACAUGCAAGAGCAGUAGAGAGCAAGAUUUUGCUGAAAGGACCCAGAUAUAGCUGUCUCUUGUGAGGCUAUGCAGGGGCCUAGCAAACACAGAAGUGGAUGCUCAUAGUCAGCUAUUGGAUGGAUCACAGGGCCCCCAAUGGAGGAGCUAGAGAAAGUACCCAAGGAGCUAAAGGGAUCUGCAACCCUAUAGGUGGAAUAAUAUGAACUAACCAGUACCCCCCAGAGCUCUUGUCUCUAGCUGCAUAUGUAUCAGAAGAUGGCCUAGUCGGCCAUCAGAGGAAAGAGAGGCCCUUUGAUCUUGCAAACUUUAUAUGCCUCAGUACAGGGGAACGCCAGGGCCAAGAAGUGGUAGUGGGUGGGUAGGGGAGUGUGUGUGGGAGGGUAUGGGGGACUUUUGGGAUAGCACUGGAAAUGUAAAUGAAGAAAAUACCUAAUUAAAAAAUAAAAAUAGCUUUAAGGAAAAAAAAAGAGCAGUAGAUGGCAGGAAAUAAUCAAACUCAGGGCUGAAAUCAACCAGAUAGAAACAAAAAGAACUAUACAAAGAACAAACAAAACCAGGAGGUAGUUCUUUGAGAAAAUCAAUAAGAUAGAUAAAUUCUUAGCCAGACUAACUAGAGGGUGUAGAGACAGUAUCCAAAUUAAUAAAAUCAGAAAUGAAAAGGGAGACAUAACAAUGGAAACUGUGGAAAUC
rnacentral:lncRNA from 1 species